rnacentral:rRNA from 1 species
AUUGAUUUUAUGCUUGCAUAAAUGAUUUUUGGAUUCGGAGCGAGUGGCGAACUGGUGAGUAACACGUGGGUAACCUGCCCCGAAGCGGGGGAUAACAUUUGGAAACAAGUGCUAAUACCGCAUAAUUAGUUGGAACCGCAUGGUUCCAACUUGAAAGAUGGCUCUGCUAUCACUUUGGGAUGGACCCGCGCCGUAUUAGUUAGUUGGUGAGAUAAAAGCCCACCAAGACGAUGAUACGUAGCCGACCUGAGAGGGUAAUCGGCCACAUUGGGACUGAGACAUGGCCCAGACUCCUACGGGAGGCAGCAGUAGGGAAUCUUCCACAAUGGACGAAAGUCUGAUGGAGCAACGCCGCGUGAGUGAUGAAGGUUUUCGGAUCGUAAAACUCUGUUGUUAAAGAAGAACAAGUGUUAGAGUAACUGUUAACACUUUGACGGUAUUUAACCAGAAAGCCACGGCUAACUACGUGCCAGCAGCCGCGGUAAUACGUAGGUGGCAAGCGUUGUCCGGAUUUAUUGGGCGUAAAGCGAGCGCAGGCGGUUUUGUAAGUCUGCUGUGAAAGCCCUCAGCUCAACUGAGGAAGUGCAGUGGAAACUACAAAACUUGAGUACAGAAGAGGAAAGUGGAACUCCAUGUGUAGCGGUGAAAUGCGUAGAUAUAUGGAAGAACACCAGUGGCGAAGGCGGCUUUCUGGUCUGUUACUGACGCUGAGGCUCGAAAGCAUGGGUAGCGAACAGGAUUAGAUACCCUGGUAGUCCAUGCCGUAAACGAUGAAUACUAGGUGUUGGAGGGUUUCCGCCCUUCAGUGCCGCAGCUAACGCAUUAAGUAUUCCGCCUGGGGAGUACGACCGCAAGGUUGAAACUCAAAGGAAUUGACGGGGGCCCGCACAAGUGGUGGAGCAUGUGGUUUAAUUCGAUGCUACGCGAAGAACCUUACCAGCUCUUGACAUCUUCUGCCAACCCAAGAGAUUGGGCGUUCCCUUCGGGGACAGAAUGACAGGUGGUGCAUGGUUGUCGUCAGCUCGUGUCGUGAGAUGUUGGGUUAAGUCCCGCAACGAGCGCAACCCUUAUUAUUAGUUGCCAGCAUUUAGUUGGGCACUCUAGUGAGACUGCCGGUGAUAAA